CUUGAGGGAUAUAAGAGGUCCAGCCUGCCCAGUGACCUAGUUCAACGGCCGCGGUAUCCUAACCGUGCGAAGGUAGCGUAAUCACUUGUUCUUUAAAUAAGGACUAGUAUGAAUGGCACCACGAGGGUUUAACUGUCUCCUUUUUCUAAUCAGUGAAACUAAUCUCCCCGUGAAGAAGCUGGGAUUUUUUUAUAAGACGAGAAGACCCUAUGGAGCUUUAAACUAUUUUACACCUGCUGCCCACAAACCAACUUCCAGAAAUUAACCCUAAAGCAUAGCACUUUGAUUAAUAGUUUUUGAUUGGGGUGAUCGCGGAGUAAAAAAUAACCUCCACGACGAAAGGAUUUUUCCUGAGCCAUAAGCCACAGCUUUAAGCACUAAUAUUAUUAACGGCUAUUGACCCAAUAAUUUUGAUCAACGAAC
rnacentral:rRNA from 1 species